AGCAGUCAAAUAUAAGCAGUCAAUAGCCCUAAGGAGUGAAAUAUGCAGGAAUAUUUGACUGCUUAGGUAUGGCAAAAAUCUAUGCGAGUCAAUACUAAGCCAGUGAUAAAUGAUUGGAUGUCUUCGUCAGUUUACAGUUACACCCUCACUGGCGCGAAAUCCUCUGAUGUGCGAACCAGGGAGUUGCUUUCACGGCUCACGACAUCCUGGUGGGAACUGUCAAGUAGACCUACCCUGUAGAAUCCACGAAGAUACUGAGUCGUGAAAGGGCCUUCACCUUGCUCGCGACUCUGGCCCUGUAGAUUUACUGGCUGUGUCCUGGGCUCCCCGGGCUGAAGUCUCCAUUUCAGGUUCCAAGCAAGCAACAUUCGAGCCACGACACUUCCCGCUCAUCUUCUGUCCAGUUUUGUCGUGUAAAGAAAACUUUGCUACAUUGUUGUCGAUAUGGUUUCACAACGAGCUCAUACUUUUCCAUAUUGUCCUCCCAGAAAGAACGGGAGAAAUUUCCGUGCGGGCGAAUGUGUCCUGCUUCUGUUCCGGGAAUAACACCACUAGCAUAUCGUCCACAAGGCUUGACGGCAGCCGGAGGAGCACUAUUUCGCAAGAUACUUUGAGGUGGUCAGAAGACACACGCCAUGCUGCUCGGGUGAAGAACAGCCGACUCAACGUGCAUGUGUGCCUUGGGCGUGCUGCAACAGCACGACCCGAAUCACUUCCCAAAUUUAUAAACCCGUGCUCGAAGACGAAAACUGGCGACGCUAAACACCGGGUCCCCACAUUCCCUCAUUUUCCUGAUGAGUGAUGGAUGUUCAGGUGCAUGUCACCUUGACCUCCUUGGCCUGUUGCAGAGCCAGUACAUACAAUCAUCAUGUCAUGUAAAGUCUGUAAUACGGACUCUGCACAGUCACUGGCUGAGAGAGCGAGAGAGCGGAGAGGUCCAGUGGUCCAAGCGCAUCAAUAUCACGUUUCGGCUGUUUGUCACAAGACAUCACAGGGGAGAAAGCCUCAGAAAGGAAUGUACUGCUGGAAGUCACGAGACUGAAAUGGUGCACUUGAUCGAGUCGUCGUUGAGAGUACUCAGUAUGUGGCAAGGAAGUGCUGCUGAUCUGGUGCGUGGACUACACAGUCACUGCCUACAUUGUACAGUAGUCAGUAUGUCUACUCUUAUCUCAGGUGUUUGGGAUGGGACACCCUUCAAGCAAGACACCCUUCAAGCAAAUGCUUGAUGUCGCAUGGGAUGCAAGGAAUGUGGUCUCUAGAAUGCCGCGUGUACACUGUUGUAGUGUUGGUGGUUACACUGUUCGUGUUACUAUUGAUUGAUUUGCAUGAGACUGGUUCGGAUAUUGCACCUAACAUACCAGCCCUGACAUUUUUUAAAUAUUGCAGUAGGACCCAGAGAUUUCCUUUUUCAGAGCUGUCACAGUGAAUUUUUGGCUGGGCAUGACAAGCCGGUGACACUGUUCAAUGGAAUUCCUUGAGACUCCAGAAUUGCAUGAAUAGCAGUCAAAGUAGGUCGGGUCAGUGAGGUUAUUUUUACGCAUCCAUGCGUGAUCAUGCACACGGGGAGAUAGUGAAGCUCAGAUAAAACCAGUGCAGUGGAAGAACAGAUUGCGGAUCACCUCACCAUGGUCACCUCCCCUUACCCCAAUGUUUGUGCAUUUAUUAUUAGAUAUGCGGCACACUGUUGCUGCUGCGGUCAUAGUGGCACAUUAGAUUAGGUGACUCUUUUCCCGGUCUAAUGAGUAGUCAUUUUACAGGUUCUAAUGUAUUGAAUUAUUGUCAGAGUCAUCCUACUAAUGCCAGUUUUGGGCUGGUAUGUGUCUAUGGAAGCCAGCAGCCCUUGGGAGCAUGUGACACGGCCUAUGGGUGUAAAUAACUUAGUUGAAUCUGCCUUUGUUUACAAAGGUGGAAUAGAAUGUGCAUCGUCAGUCUCUGGUCUGAGUCUGGGCAUGAUCUUGGUGUUUAUGGCCCAGAUGGUGUCCGUUUGUGCACUGAUUCACUAGAUCUGGUGGAAUCCUAUGCUGUUGAUUCCUUACUGUGUGACUGAGUAGUUGGUGUCACACUGGCCGACUGCUGGGGGCCCUGUCACAUGAUGGUCUGAUGAUGUGCCUGCUCAGGCAUGGCUGGGUCAUCAUGCGGGCGUGCACAGUGCAAGCUAGUGAGAGCCACACCUGAUUGACUGAUGGUGGUGACUGUGUCCAGUUCAAGUACAUCAUAGUCUAUGCUGUUUAUAUUUUCAUCCAACAUGAUCAUAUGAGACUAAGUGUUACUACAUAAUUGCAAUAAGCUACCCAGCUGCAUUGCUGCAUGCUGCUAACAACUGCAUCAUGACCUUUGCCCAGCUAGUGCCGGGCUCUCUCCAAACAUCCCGGCCUGGUAUGCCCCAGUUCAGUGAUGCAUGUCCAGUUUCACCCUGGUGUCAUACUUGCAGGUAAUAAAUUAUUUAAUUAGCUGGCAUACCAUCACUGCAUUAGCCCUGAUGGUCCUCUGCCACUUGAUAACAAUGAUCAUCUGAUGAUAGUCACACACACAGUGAUGGGGUCAGCCUCCUAACCCAGCAUGACUUUGUAUCUGGCUGUCCCUGACCAGUUUGGCAAUUAUCCUGCCGGCUACGGGGUCAUAUUAGGGGAAAGUGAGAUCAAAGAUGUUCCCCAGUGGCAACUGCUGCUGUUCUAACAUAAAAUUAAUGCACAUGCUUGGUAAUUUAGUUACACUUAUAUUCUCUGGCCCUUGAGCACUACCA